AGCUGUCUUUCAAAAAUGAAGACGAAAUAGAAGAUAUUUCCAGAUAAACAAAAACUGAGAGAAAUUGUCUCUAGCAGGCCCGUCUCAUAAGAAAUACUAAAGGAAAACCUUCAGUCAGAAGAGAAAUUACAGCACAUAGUAAGUAACUCAGAAAUGCAGGAAGAAAUGAAGAGUCCUGGAAAUAGCAAAUAUGUCAGUAAAUAUAAGGAUUUUAUGUUUUUCUCUUUUCUUCAGACAUAUUUUUGACCAUCUUCAAAAGCAGAAUCCCAAGACAAUGGAAGAGGCCCUAGGGUGGUGCAGCAGAAAGGAUCCGCGUGUGGACAGCAGAGCUGAGCUGUGGAGUAGCUCUGUGGUCUUAGACAACUUCCUGUCAUUGGAUCUUUGAGGCACCAUCCUCUGUAAAGUAGAAUUAAUAAUGUCCACCCUGUGAGCUUGUACUGAGGAUGAAGAUAAUGAUUAAAGAGCCCAGCACAGUGCUUGGUACACAGCAGAUGUUCAAUAAGCGAACAUGUGGCAGCUCUCAAUCUGCAAGUGACCGGCCUUUUCUCAGAAUCGUGGAAUAGGAACGGGCAGCCUGAUCUUACUUCUACCAGGGAAGUGCCCCUCGGCAUACCUGCAGGAAUGACCUGGCUGACAUUCUUGUCGUGACCCUUUUGAAAUCCAGAAUCUCUCUAUAAAUAGUAUAACAAUUUCCAAUCCCUUGUUUCCUCAGAUAUAUCUGUGACUUACUGCCUGAAUCAACUAUUAGCUCACAGCCAUACCCAUGUUUUCUAAAUCACCGGAUUUCAAAAGCUCUGUCCCCUGUGCCAGCAAUAACCUCCACUAUGUAAAUAAAUCAAUAAACAAGGCACCCUGUUUUAAUCUUAUUAAAAAAUACCAAGGCAAUGAA